rnacentral:rRNA from 1 species
GCGUUAAGUUGCAGGGUAUAGACCCGAAACCCGGUGAUCUAGCCAUGGGCAGGUUGAAGGUUGGGUAACACUAACUGGAGGACCGAACCGACUAAUGUUGAAAAAUUAGCGGAUGACCUGUGGCUGGGGGUGAAAGGCCAAUCAAACCGGGAGAUAGCUGGUUCUCCCCGAAAGCUAUUUAGGUAGCGCCUCGUGAAUUCAUCUCCGGGGGUAGAGCACUGUUUCGGCUAGGGGGCCAUCCCGGCUUACCAACCCGAUGCAAACUGCGAAUACCGGAGAAUGUUAUCACGGGAGACACACGGCGGGUGCUAACGUCCGUCGUGAAGAGGGAAACAACCCAGACCGCCAGCUAAGGUCCCAAAGUCAUGGUUAAGUGGGAAACGAUGUGGGAAGGCCCAGACAGCCAGGAUGUUGGCUUAGAAGCAGCCAUCAUUUAAAGAAAGCGUAAUAGCUCACUGGUCGAGUCGGCCUGCGCGGAAGAUGUAACGGGGCUAAACCAUGCACCGAAGCUGCGGCAGCGACACUCAGGUGUUGUUGGGUAGGGGAGCGUUCUGUAAGCCUGUGAAGGUGUGUCGUGAGGCAUGCUGGAGGUAUCAGAAGUGCGAAUGCUGACAUAAGUAACGAUAAAGCGGGUGAAAAGCCCGCUCGCCGGAAGACCAAGGGUUCCUGUCCAACGUUAAUCGGGGCAGGGUGAGUCGACCCCUAAGGCGAGGCCGAAAGGCGUAGUCGAUGGGAAACGGGUUAAUAUUCCCGUACUUGGUGUUACUGCGAAGGGGGGACGGAGAAGGCUAUGUUGGCCGGGCGACGGUUGUCCCGGUUUAAGCGUGUAGGUGUGUGUUCCAGGUAAAUCCGGUUCACUUUAACACUGAGGCGUGACGACGAGGCACUACGGUGCUGAAGCAACAAAUGCCCUGCUUCCAGGAAAAGCCUCUAAGCAUCAGGUAACAUCAAAUCGUACCCCAAACCGACACAGGUGGUCAGGUAGAGAAUACCAAGGCGCUUGAGAGAACUCGGGUGAAGGAACUAGGCAAAAUGGUGCCGUAACUUCGGGAGAAGGCACGCUGACACGUAGGUGAAGUGAUUUACUCACGGAGCUGAAGUCAGUCGAAGAUACCAGCUGGCUGCAACUGUUUAUUAAAAACACAGCACUGUGCAAACACGAAAGUGGACGUAUACGGUGUGACGCCUGCCCGGUGCCGGAAGGUUAAUUGAUGGGGUCAGCGCAAGCGAAGCUCCUGAUCGAAGCCCCGGUAAACGGCGGCCGUAACUAUAACGGUCCUAAGGUAGCGAAAUUCCUUGUCGGGUAAGUUCCGACCUGCACGAAUGGCGUAAUGAUGGCCAGGCUGUCUCCACCCGAGACUCAGUGAAAUUGAACUCGCUGUGAAGAUGCAGUGUACCCGCGGCAAGACGGAAAGACCCCGUGAACCUUUACUAUAGCUUGACACUGAACAUUGAGCCUUGAUGUGUAGGAUAGGUGGGAGGCUUUGAAGUGUGGACGCCAGUCUGCAUGGAGCCGACCUUGAAAUACCACCCUUUAAUGUUUGAUGUUCUAACGUGGACCCGUAAUCCGGGUUGCGGACAGUGUCUGGUGGGUAGUUUGACUGGGGCGGUCUCCUCCUAAAGAGUAACGGAGGAGCACGAAGGUUGGCUAAUCCUGGUCGGACAUCAGGAGGUUAGUGCAAUGGCAUAAGCCAGCUUGACUGCGAGCGUGACGGCGCGAGCAGGUGCGAAAGCAGGUCAUAGUGAUCCGGUGGUUCUGAAUGGAAGGGCCAUCGCUCAACGGAUAAAAGGUACUCCGGGGAUAACAGGCUGAUACCGCCCAAGAGUUCAUAUCGACGGCGGUGUUUGGCACCUCGAUGUCGGCUCAUCACAUCCUGGGGCUGAAGUAGGUCCCAAGGGUAUGGCUGUUCGCCAUUUAAAGUGGUACGCGAGCUGGGUUUAGAACGUCGUGAGACAGUUCGGUCCCUAUCUGCCGUGGGCGCUGGAGAACUGAGGGGGGCUGCUCCUAGUACGAGAGGACCGGAGUGGACGCAUCACUGGUGUUCGGGUUGUCAUGCCAAUGGCACUGCCCGGUAGCUAAAUGCGGAAGAGAUAAGUGCUGAAAGCAUCUAAGCACGAAACUUGCCCCGAGAUGAGUUCU